rnacentral:rRNA from 2 species
ACGGGUGAGUAACACGUGGGCAAUCUGCCCUGCACUCUGGGACAAGCCCUGGAAACGGGGUCUAAUACCGGAUACAACCACUGACCGCAUGGUCGGGUGGUGGAAAGCUCCGGCGGUGCAGGAUGAGCCCGCGGCCUAUCAGCUUGUUGGUGAGGUAAUGGCUCACCAAGGCGACGACGGGUAGCCGGCCUGAGAGGGCGACCGGCCACACUGGGACUGAGACACGGCCCAGACUCCUACGGGAGGCAGCAGUGGGGAAUAUUGCACAAUGGGCGAAAGCCUGAUGCAGCGACGCCGCGUGAGGGAUGACGGCCUUCGGGUUGUAAACCUCUUUCAGCAGGGAAGAAGCGAAAGUGACGGUACCUGCAGAAGAAGCGCCGGCUAACUACGUGCCAGCAGCCGCGGUAAUACGUAGGGCGCAAGCGUUGUCCGGAAUUAUUGGGCGUAAAGAGCUCGUAGGCGGCUUGUCACGUCGGUUGUGAAAGCCCGGGGCUUAACCCCGGGUCUGCAGUCGAUACGGGCAGGCUAGAGUUCGGUAGGGGAGAUCGGAAUUCCUGGUGUAGCGGUGAAAUGCGCAGA